UACAGAGGGGGGCGAGCGUUGUUCGGAAUUACUGGGCGUAAAGGGCGCGUAGGCGGCCCUUCUAAGUCGAACGUGAAAAUCCCCGGGCUCAACCCGGGAACUGCGUCCGAUACUGGGAGGCUUGAAUCCGGGAGAGGGAUGUGGAAUUCCAGGUGUAGCGGUGAAAUGCGUAGAUAUCUGGAGGAAACACCGGUGGCGAAGGCGGCAUCCUGGACCGGUAUUGACGCUGAGGCGCGAAAGCCAGGGAGCAAACGGG
rnacentral:rRNA from 1 species